UACGAGGGGGGCGAGCGUUGUUCGGAAUUAUUGGGCGUAAAGAGCGUGUAGGCGGCCAGGUAGGUCAGCUGUGAAAACUCGAGGCUCAACCUCGAGACGCCGGUUGAAACCAUCUGGCUAGAGUCCGGAAGAGGAGAGUGGAAUUCCUGGUGUAGUGGUGAAAUGCGCAGAUAUCAGGAAGAACACCCGUGGCUAAGGCGGCUCUCUAGUACGGUACUGACGCUGAGACGCGAAAGCGUGGGGAGCGAACAGG
rnacentral:rRNA from 1 species